GCCCCCUCAGGGAGGUGUCUGGGAGAGCGCGCAGGCGCCGCGCCCGUGGCGGCUGUUCCGUUGCACUCAGCCGGCCGCCCCCCGCCGUGUUGGGCUCGGAAUCUCCGCGGGAGUGCGCCUUUCACCCGGUUGUAACGGUCCCGCCGCUUGGCGGUGGGAUCGAGGAGAGAGUGAGACUUCAGUGGAACAGCAAAUUGAACAAAUGCAUACCUUCAUGUUCGGUUGAUGGAUAAAUUCCAAGAGCAUACAAGCAACUCUUUCCUGAUCCAAGUAAUAUAAUGACAUGGUUAUAUAGGAAACUGAAAGUAGCACAGUAAAAGUACUCAUGGGUAAGAGAAAGGAAGAAAGUGUUUCAAAGCCUAGAUCCCACAAAAGACAGAGGCAAGAAUUCACAGAUGAGCACAGUGAUGAGUCAAAUGAUGAAGAAAACUCACUGUUUUCAUUUGAUACUAAUUUCUCUCCUGUGUCGACUGUAGGGGAAGUUGGGAUAAUUGAAAGUAUCCAGCUGAAGAACUUUAUGUGCCAUUCCAUGUUGGGACCUUUUCAGUUUGGAUCAAAUCUCAAUUUUGUUGUUGGAAACAAUGGAAGUGGAAAAAGUUCUGUGUUAACUGCUCUUAUUGUUGGACUUGGUGGAAAAGCCACUGCUACUAAUAGAGGUUCCUCAUUAAAAAUGUUCGUAAAAACCGGAGCAACUUCUGCAGAUAUCUCAAUAACAUUGCGAAACCAAGGUAGAGAUGCAUUUAAACCAGAAGUGUAUGGUGACUCUAUUAUUGUGAAUCAGCACAUUAAUCUGGAUGGAAACAGAAGUUACAGACUGAAAAGCAAAUCUGGGACUGUAGUUUCUUCGAAGAAAGAAGAACUCUUAGGAAUACUGGAUCACUUUAACAUACAGGUAGAUAAUCCUGUGUCUGUUUUAACUCAAGAGAUGAGUAAGCACUUCUUACAGUCUAAAAAUGAAGGUGACAAGUAUAAGUUUUUUAUGAAGGCGACUCAGCUGGAGCAAAUGAAAGAAGAUUAUUCAUAUAUUAUGAAAACUAAAGAAAAUACAAGUCUUCAGAUAGAACAAGGAGAAGAGCGUCUUCAAGAGCUUAAGCUGCUUUAUAAGGAAAAAAAGGAACGUUACAGAAGCAUUGGGUUUGUGAAUGAAAUGCGAAAUCAUCUUGAAGAGUUGAAACAUAAAAUGGCAUGGGCUGUGGUGGGAGAGAUGGAAAGAGAAAUACAGCCAAUCAGAGAAGGCAUCAGAGCUGAAGAAGGAAAUACAGAAAAGUUUGAUCAGAAGCUAGAGGAAUGCCAGGUUAAAGUAAAUGAAGCAGAAGAAAAGUACAAAACAAUACAAGAGAAAUUAGUAACAAUAAGUGAAGAAGCAGAAACCCUGCAUCCUCAGUGUAUUUCAUUAAAAGCUGAUGUGCAGGCAAGAAGAAAAGCAGUUAAUGAAGCUGAGGUACUUUAUAACCGUGUCAAAACUGAGUUGAAACGUCUGGGAAAAGACGAUGAACAGCUGCGUAACCGAAUUGAAGAAAUGAAAAACAGUGCUAAUAGGAUUUCAGAUCCUGAAAAGCUGGAAAAACAAAGGAAAAUUGCACAGUUAAAGGAAAAGUUACAGGCAUUUCAUGAUGAAGAAGUGAUGAUUGGCCAACAGAUGGAUCAGUUUCAGCAGGCUGUUUAUAAACAUAAGGAAGAACAUGCUAAACUUAGGAGAGAAGACAGUGAUAUGAAACGAGAAUUGGAUGCUAAGCAGAAACAGCUGAGAGAGCUGAGAGAUAGUAAAACAAAUACCUUUAAAAGAUUUGGACAACAUAUACCGUCAUUUCUUGAAGCAGUUGAAACAGCCUAUAGGCAAGGGCACUUUAAACGCAAACCUGUUGGACCUUUAGGUGCUUUCAUUCAUCUGAAAGAUGCUGAACUGUCCUUGGCUGUUGAAUCUUGUUUAAAGAGCUUAGUUCAGGCAUUUUGCUGUGAUAAUCAUAGUGAUGAAAGAGUUCUUCAGCAACUGAUGGCAAAUCAUUAUCCACGUGGGUUUAGACCUUCAAUAAUUGUAAAUAAAUUUCAGGAUAAAGUUUAUGAUGUUACACACAAAGGAGUUCAUCAUCCAGAAUUCCCAUCAGUUCUCACAGCAUUGGAAAUAGAUGAUCCAGUGGUUGCCAACUGUUUGAUCGAUGUGAGGGGUAUAGAAAAAAUCCUGCUAAUUAAAAGUAGCCGUAAAGCUCGUGAAGUAAUGCAGUCUAAUAAUCCUCCAAGAAAUUGUAGAGAAGCUUUCACUGCUGAAGGUGAUCAAGUAUUUGACAGACGAUACUAUUCUUCUGACUACCACAGACCCAAGUAUCUCAGCAAAGAUGUUGAAGCAGAAAUAAGUCAUUUGGAGAAUGAAGUUGCAAACAGGAAGGCGCAGUUGACAGCAUGUCAGCGACGUUUGUAUUCCAUUGAAAAUGAGAUUAGGCAGAAUGAAGAUCAUCUUCAUCGUCAUCGACAACACCAAAAAGAACUACAGAUAAAAAUGAGAACAACAAAUGCAGAAAUAGCAGAUCUUGAGAAUACAGAAGAAAACCAGUCAGUGGACAUCCGUGUAUUGGAAGAUGUGGCUGAAGAAAAUAAAAAAAAGAUGGAAUCUGCAAAAAAAGAAAUGCAGGAGCAAAGCAGAAGAAUGGAAGAACUGAACAAUGUUCUCCAGGAGGCUGAAAAAAGAUUUGAAGAAAUAAAAGAAAAAAUUCAUCAAGUAGAAGAAAUUGCUGGUCCAAUUAAGGAUGAAUUAAACAAAGCGGACUCGGAGGUGGAAAACAGAAAACGUCGUUGGCAGCACUAUGAAGACAGAAAGAACGAACAUUUGGCUUGCAUAAAAAAACAUAAGGAAUUACUAGCUGCCAAAGAAAAAGAAUUAGAGGAAAAAACUGCACAGGCUAGACAAAUCUACGCAGAGCGCAUAGAAGUCAGCAGAACUGUUAAGAGUCUGGAUGCAGAAAUGAAUCGCUUAAGAGAGAGGAUAAAUUCAGAAAAAAAUCACCAUGGGAACAGAGAAGAAAUAAUACAGCAAUUUCUUGAUGCAAAGGAAAGAUACGAGGAUGCAAACAUUAAAGUAAAGAACUUAAAGAGAUUUAUUAUGCUGCUGGAAGAAAUAAUGACACAAAGAUUCAGAAUAUAUCGACAGUUCUUAAGGUCCCAUAAUAUUUCUGAGGUAAGGCAGUGCACAGCUGAUGAAUCUCCACCAAGUUCUAGUGAUUGUGUCAGCACAGCUACUAGUCCUUUGCCUUACUUUUGCCUUGCAUAGUUUUUUAACCUCAUCUUGCGCCCAGUACCAAUAUUAUUAUGUCUGACAAUUUAGAGUCUGCCUGGACUGACAGCUGGAAAACAACAUAAUCAGUUGAGGCUGCAAAUAUUUUUCUUCACACCAAAGGCCUCAGCUAUGCUCACUCAAUCCAAGACAGUUCUGUUUCAGUACUGGUUUUGGACAGUAAAAUAUCAGCAAUAUGCUAACAUUGAAAUAAUCCAGCCUAUCAUUCAUUUUCAUUAAGUCUAGUUAUCAGUGGUAUGCUCCCAUAACUUCAUUGUGGGCCAGCCACUCUUUCUCUGCCCUAAGCUGAAAAAUCUUUCAAGACUUUUAUUCAGGACCUGCGAUUUGAUGGCUUUCUCUCUGACAAAGUGUCUGUACUGGGAAUGCACCACUUCUUUCUUGCUGCAGUCCCUUACUAUCCUGUACCAUGAUGACUUCUUGGUGGCUUCUUUUCAAAAGGACUGAAUUUUUUGUCUUUUCCAAAAAUGCAAUGCAAUCCUUUCUUGUUUAUUUUUAUUUAUUUUUUUUCAGCAGAAAUUGAGGGGUAUCUUUGUUGGUUCUGCUCUUUGUACUUUUCAGUCUGGGAUUUGGAUGGGAUUGCCAGUACAAUCAUGAGAGAUAGUAAUGAUCAAAAGAAUCCUAUCUUUUGCAUUGGAAGUAUAGAAAUGCCAGUUGAUAAAUUUGUACCCGCGGAAUCUGAUACUUGCCUUUUGGGGCCUAUAAGUGUCAAACUGAGUAUUGUUCUUAGUAUUUGAAUAUGAAUCAUGGAACCAUAGAAUGGUCCCACUCUAAUGUGUACUAAAGAACCAUAGUAAAUUCUUGGAGGAACAGUGUUGUAUUGUCUGCUGGAGACCUAUGUACUAGAAUUGAGGAAGGAAGGGAGUGCAGAGGGAAUCAGCAAUGUUUAAUUCUUGGAGUCUAGCAGAGUCCUUGUAAAUUCUUCACUAUGCUAACUAUGCAGUACUAACACUGGAUAGGGAAAUAGUAGUGAAGUCUGGUUAUUUCAUGGUGAAGUUGUGAAAGAAGCAUGUCAAAAGCUUCUGGUUGAUUGAAGCAGGGAUUAAGUUUACAGAAAAUAUAAACUCUGUACUUCUGGAUUUCUACACUUGUUACGUAGUGUCUGUAAUUUCUCUCCGAUGUUAACUGCUUGAGAAUAUAAUGGAUUUGGGGAAAAUGCUAUUAAUGGAGUAGGGUUUAGUAUUUGAGAUGAUGAUGUGAAACCGUUGAUUAAAACAUUUGCUGUCACUUUUUCAAAUGUCUUAAGACUUGGUGAGCUAAUGUUUGUUUGCAUGAUUUAACUGAUUUAAGGCUCCUUUCUUUACGAUGCAAACUGUACUUCGACUACUUAUUACGCAUUCGAGCUUGCUGUGGAAAAAUACUUUUCGACCACAAGAAUGAGACACUUUCAAUAACAGUUCAGCCUGGAGAGGAAGACAAAGCUGCCCUUAACGAUGUGAGAUCUUUAUCAGGAGGUGAACGUUCCUUCUCAACAGUUUGUUUCAUUCUUUCUCUGUGGUCCAUUACUGAAUCUCCUUUCAGAUG